GCACCCGUGGUGAAAUUGGCAUACACGCAAGGUUCAGGUCCUUGUGCCCGCAAGGGCGUGGAGGUUCGACUCCUCUCGGGUGCACCA
rnacentral:tRNA from 1 species